AGCGAACGCUAGCGGCGGGCCUAACACAUGCAAGUCGAGCGGAGAACUUCGGUUCUUAGCGGCGGACGGGUGAGUAACGCGUAGGUAAUGUGCCUUCUGGUGGGGAACAACCGUGCGAAAGCAUGGCUAAUACCGCAUAUGUCGAGAGAUGAAAGCCUUCGGGCGCCAGUAGAGCAGCCUGCGUCCCAUUAUUUAGUCCUAGUUGGUGAGGUAACGGCUCACCAAGGGUACGAUGGGUAGCUGGUCUGAGAGGAUGAUCAGCCACACUGGAACUGAGACACGGUCCAGACUCCUACGGGAGGCAGCAGUGGGGAAUAUUGCGCAAUGGGCGAAAGCCUGACGCAGCCACGCCGCGUGAGUGAUGAAGGCCUCCGGGUUGUAAAGCUCUGUCGGGAGGGAAGAAGGCGCGAGCCUGACGGUACCUCGCAAGAAAGCACCGGCUAACUCUGUGCCAGCAGACGCGGUAAAGUAGUCGUGU
rnacentral:rRNA from 1 species